rnacentral:lncRNA from 1 species
UAAAGGAAUCCAGAACUGGGUGCCAGUUGGCCUGGAGGGAUUGGUGAUCUACCAGAGCAUCAGGGCUGCCUCUGUGCGGAUUUCUCCAGCCCCAGCCUCGGACUCUGGCUCAGUGCUACGAAGAGAGAAGUUCGACAGAAUGUGAGAAAGGCCACCGUGGAGGUGAAGGAUGAAACGGGCCAGAAACCUUCAUCCGCAGAAGAUCAGCCUCCGUGUUUCUGUCACGUUACCUGUUGAACACUUAAGCUCACCUUGUUGAUUUAUGGGUGAGUUCUUCUUUAUUGAAUGAUCAUGUUUCCCUUUCUAAAAUUUCU